rnacentral:lncRNA from 1 species
CCUUCAAUUUGGGUAUCUACACAGACUCUCCUAGUCUUUUCAUUCAAAUUCUGCUAUCAGAAGUCACCAAGUCCACCUUGUAGUUAAAUCCAAUGUCCUUUGCAUCAACCUAUUUGGACAUUUUUCAGCAGUUGACACUUUGACCAUUUUCUGAGUCUUAAUAUCUUCCUUCCAAAUGUCAGACAUUGUAGCCAGGCCUAGCGGUGCAUGCCUGUUGUUCCAGGUGGCACAGCUAGGUUUCCACAUUGACCCACUGUGCUUGUCGUCCUUCUCCAGCCAGUGCCCCUUUUGGAGGGAGUCACCAACAGAAAUGUGUGCUGUCAAUGUCUGGCUAUGCCCAUGCCCUGGGCUCUGCUUCACUCUCCCAAGACAGGGGUCCCUGGGGCAGCCUGAUCUCCUUUUCAGUUCCCCAAAAUCUGAGGGAAAAAUGAUAGACUGUGACAAAAAGGCAAUCUAUUAUUUUACUUUUUAAUAGAGUUCUGCCAGCUCUAGCAUGUGCCAUAAAUUACAGUGACCUUUAAAAUCUCGCUUGGUCACUGCUGAAUGGGUGAGAAUAGGCUUGGUUCCAGUUUUUAAGGUCACACUGUCCUAAUUUGCAAUGCAUCACACCAUGUACUAAGUUGGUAACAACCGCUUAGAGGAAAGCUUUCGUUAUGCAAGGGAGAACAUCAAAAAGGGCACUUAUCCCAAAUGAAUGCAGCAAUUUAAACCAAAGAUGUUUACGCAGGGCAAGAACAAAGUAAGGCAGGAGUUUGGGGUCAACUAGGCUGAUGUCUUUGAACACCCAUGAGCUCACUGGAAGGUCUGAAUAUCUGGUGGCCGAUGGGCUCGGGGUGUCUCGUCAUUGCUUAGAAGCGAAAAUUAAAUGCUGAGUUAUGUGGGUGAAAAUAUGUAUGUUUGCAAUUACACAUGGAAUGUAAACCAAAGAUACAAUUCUAAGCCCCCUAACCACUAAAUGGAUCCCUCCUCUCAGCCAAGGGCAUUCCAAAGUUAACCUGAAACACUAGUUCAGGCUGUGAUGGAAAUGAGUGGGUGGACAUGCCUCCAUGGAAGGAAUUCAGACACAACUGACCAGCAUGAACAUUCAAACAGAGACCUUAAGUCUAACAAAACAGACUCUUUGUAGCAAUAAGAUGCUGAUAUGACAGCAGGCCCUGAAAGCAAUAGAAAUACUUUACCCCAAAAUAUAUUUCUUUGAUAUAUUUUGAAAUGGCCCUGCAAAGCUGUCUCUUGUGGGGAAAAUCUACAUUUUAUAGAGAAUCCUCUUCUCUUUCUGGGUAUUUUUUCUGAUCUAGGAGAGAAUUAACUAAGUCUGGCACCUUUUUAAGUCUAAUAGGAAACCAUUUACAAGCUAUUCUCUCGGAAGCCUGCUACCUGGAGACUUUAUCUGCAAAAUAAGAACCUUGGUCUCCUUCACCCCUUAUUUUAAACCAAACACACCCUCCUAUUGACUCUGGGUCUUUAGAUAAACUCUUUCAACUCAUUACCAAUCAGAAAAAUCUUUGAAUUCACCUAUGACCUGGGAGCCCGCCCAUCUUGAGUUGUCCUCCCUUUCCAGACCAAACGAAUGUAUAUCUUACAUGUAUUGGUUGAUGUCUUAUGUCUCCCUAAAACAUAUAAAAGCAAGCUGCAGCCCAACCACCUUGGACACAUGUCAUCAGGACCUCCUGAGGCUGUGUCACAGGCACGUCCUUAACCUUGACAAAAUAAACUUCUGCAUUGAUUGAACCUGUGUCAGAUACUUUUUGGCUUACAGUCAUUUAUAUAAAUAAUAAAACCAAGAGGAUGAAAAAGACUCUCAAAACUAAGCUAAAUUCUUCACCUAAAAUAAAUAAUAUAGACAUUUAUUUAUGCAAGAUUUUAGCAGUAGUGUCAUCUUCAUAUGUAGACAGCAAGUUACUUCAUGGUGGAAGAUAAGAUGUUUAGCCUGAGGGAAUUUUCUAAGCAAAGAGAAUUACCACUUAAAAAGGAAACAUCUUAAAGCAAAUUUUAACCAUUUUGCAUGGAAAUACUAUUCACUUACUUUAUGUCUGUAAACAUCAUUUAAUGUUGUCAUGAAAAUUGUGUUAAUAACAUUUCAUUAUGAAAAUAAUGAAAAUCUUAUCACAGUAGUGAAAUCAUUAUGAAAAUAAUGAAAAUCCAUUUUUUUUCCGCAAGUUAAGUAUUCAUACUUUGUAAUCAUACUGACCCGAGUAUGUUCUGUCAUUGGCUUAAAAUGUGGGUUUUCCACAUUGGUAAAAAUUUGCUAGGCCACCUGUGUGUGGUUUGUGGCUCUGAGUACACUGUGGCGCCCCCUUUGAGAGCAGCAUGUUAGCUGCCAUGAGGCUCCAGACUUAGUCAAAAAUUGCUUUCAGUAAGACAGGUGGUCAUGUCUCUAGAGGGUGUGACCAUUUCUCCUUCUCAGUAUAAAAUAGAGUGGUCAGACUGUUCUACGCAGAUGCUGAGUGCCACAGGAUGCUAAGGGAAUGGUGCAAGUGCUGUGGAUGCUUUUACAGAAACUGAGAGACUGCUUACUAUUUUAAGGCCGCCUAAGUGAUUGCACAGUAAUUAUUGCCAAGUUGCAUAUGGAGACUUUUAAAUUCUUUAAUUGUGUCACCACAAAUUGUAACGUCAUUUAUGUUGACACAAAAUUUGGGUAGCAAUUGUUAAAAUAAUUGAGAGGCCAUUAGGCUGAGAUGGCCUCAGAGCCCUUUGUUUCCUAGGUGAACAAAUCCAGCCAAGCCCAAUUCAACAUAAACAGUUAAACAAACAAACAAAAAACCUUUACCAGUCAGAAACCACCAACAAGCCCAGGGAUUUUCCAGUAGAUCAUAUUCAAUUAAGACAAAUACGUAGCUGUAGCCAAUCAAGCAAUUGCUUUGCUUUGCUUGCAUGUUCCGCCUAUAAAACCCCACACCUCUUGCUGCUACAGUGAAAUUCUCUGAACCUCUUCAGGCUUUGAAUGCUGUCCAGUUCAUGAAUCCUUUAAUUUCAAAUAAACUCUGUUGAAUUAAUUUGUCUUAAAUUUGCCUUUUAAUACAACUCUCUCCUUUAUUUUCUGUGGGUUGGAAAAACAGAGUAAUAAUUUUGUUAGAACUGUGUGCAAAGUAAGUAUGUGUAUGCCAUGAGUGAAGCAAAGAGAGGGCUUACUUCUUUUUAAAUGUGCUUUCCUACCAGGGCAUGAAAAAUACUUUAAAAAGCAUUUUUAUUUACUUCUGGGUCCUUUACUGCACUCCAAAAAGCUGAGUUUGCCUGACAGUACAUAUUAGAUAAGAGAGAUGUUAGGAAAAUUGACUUCAGCAAUUUUACAUCUUGCCUCACACAAAAGGCUUUGAUGCACCAAAUUUCCACAAUGUAAGACCCUUGCAAAAUAAAAAAAAAAGUCACAAUAGGAAAAUCUCAAACAUGCUACAGAGACAGAUUUAAAAAGUUACUUGGCAUAGUCAAAUAAAGUAAAUGGUAUACUGUCUCAUUUCAAUUUCAACUAUAAGUUGCUAAGAAACUUUUGUUUCUAAAUUUGCCAUAUAUACAUUGCUGAAACUACAUCCUAAAGGGACUGCCUUCCUAAAUUGAGGAUAUCAGUAUUUAUCACAGCUCUUCCCAGCAUGGAGGCUUUAACAACAACAAAUACCAAAAUAAAUGUAUUAUGCCAGACAAUCAGGAGGCUCUGCUCUCACUGAAUUCUGAAUAAGAGACAGAUAAUACUGUUCUAAUUCUCCAACAUGUGCUUCUGCCAAUUUAAAACUUUUCUUCUUUGAAACAAAUAGCUGUUUUUAGUAAGAGGUCAGUGUACUUUAAAGAGUUAAGAAGGUUUUGCAUUGCCUAUUUCCGUUAUCUUGAGGUCUCCAGAUUUGUAAAUAUCUCCUCAUUCAUUUUCCAAAAGGCCCAUAAAGCUGGUUUGGAGAAAGUAUGAGUGUGAUUUUUUUCUCAGGUAAAAAAAAAAGUGACCCCAUGUCAGUAAUCUAAACAUUACUCGAUUUUUUUUGAAGUCAGACCAAAUUUCUGUCUUCAGAAAAUGUUUCUUUUUUCUCCCACUUGUCUUCUUCAACUUUUGAACAAAUACUUUCAAAAUAUCUUGGUGGCAUGACUACUAUAGAAAGAAACCAGUGUCAUAAAUGGAGUGAUCUGGGCUAAACUUUAUCUGUCCUGGGAAUCUUUUACAUGAUUCAUUUAGAGACUACUCCCACCCCUUGGUCUCUCUUCCCUUGGAUUUCUGAGAGCUUAGGAACUCCCACUCUGAGAUACUCUGUGUUCUCUCCUCACGUGGAGUGUAUCUGCUACUUUGAAAUCAACAUCCCUACCAGACACGUGUCACAUUUAAGUUCACGCACAGGACCAUGUCCUGGAAUGAUAAGGCUUUCUGCUGCUGUUCUACCCUGAGGGCAUUCCGCAGGCAUCUUAGGAACUCAAUCUUGAAGGCUCAAGCUAAGCAAGUGAGUUCAGCUUGUACUCAUCACCCAGAAUUCUCUAGUAGUCACUUUUACCUCCAACUUCCCACUCUCUCGCCUCCAACUAAAGGGUUCCCAAGGUCAGUUCUGGCUUAGCUACACUGUUCAUCUUCCACCUCCUUGUCAUGCCUGCAGCAAGCCGAAUUUCUGUUCUCUGAGAGGCUGACCCAGAGCUCCUCCUGGGUGACCAAGCUCGCUUCUCCCUGGGGACCAAAGGGCAGCAUCAUCGGCCAAAGACAAAAAGAAACCCUGGGGAAGACAUCCUCCCUUACUUUCCUGCCUGCUAGGGUGGGGGCCGAGGCAAAACUUGCUCCUACUUUUCUA